rnacentral:snRNA from 1 species
CUCUAAUUUCUGAUCUUUGUCUAAGGUCAAGUUGAACAUCUGUUCUUAUCAGGUAAAUAUCUUUUACAUCCUUGACUUGAAGAUGUCAUAUUAAUCAGAUUUUUUGGGACCAAAGGAUGGGUUAGAGCUUUUUCUAUCUAUCUUGUGCAUCUGCCUGUUAUUGCAGUGUCUCCAGAAGCAGCACACCAA